rnacentral:rRNA from 1 species
GACGUAGGGCGCGAGCGUUGUCCGGAUUUAUUGGGCGUAAAGAGCUCGUAGGCGGCUUGUCGCGUCGUCCGUGAAAACCUGCAGCUCAACUGCAGGCUUGCGGUCGAUACGGGCAGGCUCGAGUUCGGUAGGGGAGACUGGAAUUCCUGGUGUAGCGGUGAAAUGCGCAGAUAUCAGGAGGAACACCGGUGGCGAAGGCGGGGUCUCUGGGCCUUACCUGACGCUCGAGGUGCGAAAGCCUAGGGGAGCGAACAGG